CUCCGACCCCGCACGUCGCCGCCGGCGCCCUCGCCGCCGCCUAUAAAAAGCCGCCUGGCCUCCCCACUCUUCACCCACUAGCACCACCACUCCCCAUCUCCCCUGCCUCCGCCACCCGAGCCGCCGCCGCCGCCGAAACCCACCACCGGCCGCACCCCCUCCCUACCCAAAUCCCCGAGGUAAGUAGCAAAAUGGGGCCUCCCCGGACCCCUCCACCAUCUCCCGCCGCCUCCCCUCGCCGCCGGCGACCCUAGGCCGCCGCCCCUAGGCCCGGCCGUGACCCCCCUUUCUCCCCUUCUCUGUGUACUGUGCGCACCAGAGGAAGAAGAAAACCAAUUUCCGAUCUAACCCCCUGAAAUCCACUAUUCGCAAAUAAGUCCUCCCACCACUCUCAUAAAGCUAUUCGCGGAUAAGCCCCUCCACCUCCAAAAUUAUUUACAAAUAGGUCCCUGGUUUAGUACAAAUCAGUCCUAAGCCUCCGUUUAAGCCCCUAAUUCAUGUUUAACCUGUCAUUUCAUGUGCCAAACUUCCUCCAAUUAAUCCCAAAUUUCACCACGUCAUCCUCUGGAAUACUUUCGCCGAUCUAUAUCCAAAUCUCCCAGAAAUAAUCCUUCUACCUAUUUUCCGUUCGCAUUUCCUGUUCGGAGCUCACGGUUAAAAACCGUUUUCUCUUUAUUUAUUUGCGUGUCUGUUUGCGUGUGCCGUAGAUCGCGAAUUGCCCGAGGAGGAGCCCGAGGAGGAGUUUGACCGCGAGCCCGAGCCCGAGGACCAGUACCGCAAGCCGGAACUC
rnacentral:lncRNA from 1 species